UAGGGAAUCUUCCGCAAUGGGCGAAAGCCUGACGGAGCAACGCCGCGUGAGUGAUGAAGGUCUUCGGAUCGUAAAACUCUGUUAUUAGGGAAGAACAAAUGUGUAAGUAACUAUGCACGUCUUGACGGUACCUAAUCAGAAAGCCACGGCUAACUACGUGCCAGCAGCCGCGGUAAUACGUAGGUGGCAAGCGUUAUCCGGAAUUAUUGGGCGUAAAGCGCGCGUAGGCGGUUUUUUAAGUCUGAUGUGAAAGCCCACGGCUCAACCGUGGAGGGUCAUUGGAAACUGGAAAACUUGAGUGCAGAAGAGGAAAGUGGAAUUCCAUGUGUAGCGGUGAAAUGCGCAGAGAUAUGGAGGAACACCAGUGGCGAACGCGACUUUCUGGUCUGUAACUGACGCUGAUGUGCGAAAGCGUGGGGAUCAAACAGG
rnacentral:rRNA from 1 species